UUUGCAAAGUCCAGAUUUUUCUCCCAACCACAGGUUGGGUAGAAUGGGAUCAGCAAAUAAGAACUCUCAAUAAGGAGAGAGGAAGGGACUUCCCAGGACACAAGGCAGAGGAAGCGGAGUGCCACCCCAGAGUCUUGGAGACACCCGCUGUAUCCUUUCUCAUGAAGGAAGGCUGCUGUCUGGAAUGUUGUGUGUCCUGGUCCCAGCAUAAAGGAAAUUAAGGCAUUUCUAAUUAAGUAUCACAGCAGUCACAGCUCAGACCAGCAUGGGUUGCACACGUAAGUGCCCAGUGGACUCCACAGAAGCCCCGGAGAAGAAGUGAACGGUGGAAGGUGCAGAAUGAGGUAAAGCCAUGUCAGGUGACCUGCUUCAAAUUAGUUCAGAAUGGCUUUCCACUGCACCAACUGGGAUCAGAGGUAACUGGAGAUGAAUGUCUGUAACUUGGAAAAAAAAGAAACCUGACUAAUAUACAAGAUCAAAAAGGUCCUCAUGGGAAUGGAAAGGAAAAAACUAACAAGAAGUAUUGUGAAACUGUGUGAUGUGAGGAAGAGGGAAAGGUCAAGAGUCCUUUUGAGGUUUGGCUACCUGGUGACAAAGCAUAAAGCUUUUACUGAAAAGGUGGAAGAAGUUGCUAUUUUCAGUAGAGUUGGAAGAGAAAGUUUCCAAGGCUCCCAGGAGUCCAGAGCACUAGCCAGCUUCCAGAGGUAGAAUCUACAACGUGACUUGUGUCUGCUAACCCCUUCAUCCUCUUCCAGAAUCGCAAACUCAUGAAAGGGCUCAAGGUCUGAUUGGAAUAGGCCUUUUGGACUCUGGCCUUUAUCCUCUGUUAUGGUUUAGAUAUGAGAUAUUCCCCAAAAGCUCAUGUGUAAGACAAUGCAAAAAAGUUUAGAAGUGAAAUGACUGAGUUAUGAGAGUUAUAACCUAAUCAGUGCACAAAUCCUCUAAUAUGGACUAAAUGGGUGGUAACUAUAGACAGGUGGAGAAUUGUUGGAGGAAGUGGGUCACUGGGGACAUGCCUUUGGGGUUUAUAUUUUGUCCUAGGUGAGCAGAGCUCUCUCUGCUUCCUGAUUGACAUGUCAUGAGCUGCUUCCAUCCUCAGUGCCCUUCCACCAUGCUGUUCUGGGUCACCGUAGGCCUAGAGCUAUGGAAUCAGUCAUCUAUGGAUUGAGACCUUUAAAACUAUGAGCCCUAAAUAAACUUUUCCUUCUUUACGUUGUUAUUGUCAGGUCUUUUUGUCACAGUGACAAAAAAGCUGACUAAAAUAUCUCCCCAAUUCACUCACUAACCUAAUACGAAUUUUCUUUCCAAAAACAAUUUAUUCAGUAAUAUGUUCAUUCAUUCACUUAAGACAUACUUGGUGAGUGCUUACUAUAUGUCAGUUACAGUGGCAGGUGCUAAGGAUACUGUGAUAAGAAAAUAAACAUGGUCCUCUACCUUCAAGGAGUUUAUAAUAUAGUGGAGAAAACAGAUGCAGGAAGGAUUUGUCACACAAAUGAAUAUAAAUAGAAAUAGUCUGAAGUUAUGUGAAGAAAAUGGAGUUUCUUAAGAGGUGUCUUGGGGAAUAUAAUUUAGAUGGAGGAGAGUUAGGAGGAUUACUAGGGAACUUUUCUGGGUAGCCAAGUAAGAGGUGGGCACUGAAAUGAAAAAGAAAAGUAGAAAACCAGAGAAGUUGGUCUUAUCCACCCUUAAGAAACAAAUGAUUCACCCAUCAGGAAUGUGAGACCGGGAGGCUUCAAAGUGAUUUCUUUGAAGUGCAGCCACACAAGCCCUUAGAGCAGAGCUUAGCAGAAAAAAUAAAUAAAUAAAUAAAAAUAAACCAAGGUAGUAUAGGGACCUCUCAGCCUGUUCCCCAGUCACCUCUGGAUGACUCUACUCAUUUACUUAUUCAUUCACUCAUUCAAGAAAUAUUUAUGGAAUACUCACAGGUGGGAGGUAUUAUACUAAAUGAUGAGGAUUUGGGAGAAGACAAUCUCCACCCUAUCUCUCAGCAUGAGGGCAGAAGCUUGGGUAGGCUCUUCCUCAAAGGGCUCCAAGAAUCACCUUGGUCUUCACCUUACAGAAUCUGCUAGACACAACCACAUGCAUAUGUUUAAUAAGACUUUUAUGCCCUCCCCUCUAGCAGACUGGUAUUUUUCUUUUGUAACUCAGGACAACUACACCUAGUCCUCCCAGAAGAGGCAAAGGUUCUUUACCCACAUAAACUAGGGAACAUGGCAGACUGACACCAAACACAGUGUGGCCGCCCAGUCCCUCCAGAUAAACAUAAGGAAAGGUCAUCCAAACACAGGAAGACGGCCGCCCCCUUCCCUUUUCCUUUACCCCCUCCCCUUCCUCCCCCCUGGCUCCCUUAUCCCCAGAGGGUGGACCCAGCCUUUCCCAGAGUUUAUUCUGAGAGUUCGAGCUCCCACAGUGGAACGUGCUGCGGACAUGGGAAUACAACAGCUCGGCCAACAGGGAAAACCAAAAAUAUAAACUGAGAUACUUAAUAGAUUUCUGCUCCUCCUCCCAAAUUGCGGCAGAAAUGUCUGCUGGUAUUGCUUUUACUGAGCUCGGUAUAAGCCAGCCCUUCCUAAGAGGAGGUCUUCUGAAGUUUAUUGCAUUUGCCAGUGAACAUUUUGUACAGAGGAAAAUUAAACUCUUUCUUAGGAUUCUCAGUGCCAUUUGCUUGAUCCGCUAAACAAAUGCAACAAAUGUUAGGAAACAAAGGCCAGAAAGCCUUGUAUCUCAAACACUGGCAAUCGAGUUAAACAUGAAUACAAAUAACACUAAAACGGCAGGGGAAAAAAUUAGAAGGCUAAAUCUGCUUCAAAUUCACUGUUGGAACCCUGGACCCAUAAAUAGGAAGUCAUUUUAUCUUUUACUGUCAUAUUCUGACCCAAACAGUGGUAAGAACAAAGUUUAUGCUCUCAUCAUUUUGGAUUUUACUUUCCAUUUGAGAGGGGAAAGAAUGAAUAGUCCAGGAUUGUAUACCCCAAUGAUUAUAAACCAGCAUUUGUGAUGAAAUGUUUAGUACUAAUUUCAAAACAGACCCGUGUUUGAAAGCAAAGCAUAAUGGUGACCUUUCUCAUUAGCUGUUGCUCAAACAAAGAUAUGUUCCAGCAAUAUCCGAUGCUUCCUUCCUCCUCGGGCCUCCACCCAAUGCAAUUUAAAACACUUGUGUCACAUCCAAACUAGAGCUAAGGAUGUAAUGUGGCUGUUUCAGUAACAUUGUGUUUAUGGUUUGUUGUUACUUUCUAAGUUUUUUUUUUAAUGUUUUGUUUUCACAAAUUUAUUAUCAUGAGUUGGGUUUGCAAGAUUAACUGUGUGAGACCGUAUAGAUGAACUCGUUAUAUACAUAUUCACUCUUCUGUUUCUCCAGCUCCCUAUUUUUGUGAUGAAUAGCAUCAUAGGUUCUUAACCAUAGGACAGAGAUUUAUUUCUCAUUGCUCUUUGGUCAGUGUUUUUAUGAAACU